UUUUAAGUUAUUUUCUUUAAAUUUUAAAACCAAAGCCUGUUUAUUCUACUUGGUAGGAGCAGUUGUUAGCCUGAAGGCAAAAUAAGUUAAUUCUGCUCCUUAAUAGCAAAGGAAUGUAGCAUCAUUAGGUAUAAUAGUUCAUGUCAGUUUAAGGAUUUUUAAAAAAUCUAUUAAGACUAAAACUCAUUUAUAUAAAAAAUAUGGUAUUAUAGAUUCAAAGGACCAGUAUUUUAACAUUAUUUUAAAACUCUUUAGAAGUUUUAAAAGAUUGGUUUUUUUCUUUGAACAGCUUAUACUUAUUGUCACUCUUCUGUUUUAUUAUAUCUUCUCAGUCUGGAACCCAUUUUCUCAAAGUCCAAAAGAGAACUGACUACAUGUUUUGCAUUAUACGUGUAUUGCAGAUAACUUGGACAAAAGAGGAGGUAUAGAGAAGAAUUCCACAGGUACCUUCCAUGUGAUUUACACAGUGAAUGGCCCUGCUUUCCGAGCAAGUUAAUGAUAUAAUAUCCCCAUUUAUAUUCAGAGCAGUCAACACUUUCUAGCUCUCAGAAUAAUAAAAGCACCUGCAUUUAAUAUACAUGGAAGAAUGGGAAGGCGAAUAGCAGAUAAGGCACAAUCAGACCCUUAGUGACACCGACUGCUAAUUCCCAAACUCUGCGUCAAUCCAAAAUAUGCCUUCCGUGUGCUUUACUUGGCUGCUGACUACCAGAGAGAAGUCACGUGACAUGGCUUUGCAAAUUGGCACCAGUUUUUAUUUUCCAACCUCAAGAACUUUGUUUGCGGGAGAGAACCAAGAUGGCAGCAUAGGUUAAUGCCGGAGAUUGCUGCCUUGACCAACCAAAUCAAAACACACCUAAAAGACAGAACGGACAUCAUCCAGAACCACAGGAAGGCUGGCUGAGUGGAAA